CUGGCGGAGCCCCACUAACUCGGAGCCUGCCGCGUUGGGUAAUGUGUGGACCUUAGCACAGGCACAUUCGAUGGCCUCAAGGUUAGUGACACCUGGAUGAAGACCCUGCUCCUGUCCUGUGGUACUGGACAUCUGUGAGCCUGUCUCUGGGUUUGUAGAGGGUUAAUGGAAGCUAACUUAGGAGGCUGUGAGAGUCCCAUGGUAUAAUUUUACAUGCAGAGUCCCAGCCUGUCUUUCUGCCCCCAGGGACUGCUACUACGACAACUCAACCACCUGCCCCAAGUGUGCCCGGCUCAACUUGAGGAAGCAGUCACUCUUCCAGGAGCCCGAUCCAGACUUGGAUGCCUAGAGCCCUGGGCACACCACCUGCCUCUCUGGCACCCACCCCACUGGCAUUGCAAAGCCAGGGUGCUGUUUCUGCCCUGAAGACCCUUUGGGUGCAUCCCUUGGAUGUCUUCACUCCUGCUGGGCCAGAAGUGGGGCCAAGGCUUCUGGGUUCUAGAGAUGUCCCUCCCUGCUCCUGUCCAAGCCACUCUGCAACUGGUCAGGUAAAGACCCCCAGAGGGCUUCAGAGGAGUGGCCAGUGAGACCUGAGCCUGCCAGCUGCAUACAUCCAGCCUUGGGCUUUGGAUUCUACCUGAAGACCAACCCUCCUGGUCCCUUGCCUCUUUGGGAGCUUCUGGUCAUCCCUGGCUGGGGCUCUUCAAGGUGGUGUCCAUGGCCCCACCUGAGGUCCUUCUGAGUCGUCCAAGGGCCGUCAGUCCAUUGGGUCCCUGCCCUCCCUGAUCAGGAAAGGGAGGCUUCCUGCUGUGGGGCUUCUCCUGGUGGGUGUGCUUGCUGCUGCUCUUGCUCUGGCCCAGCCCCCUUAUCCUGGUGCUCUGAGAUGAGUGGUGGUGGGCCCAGCCCAAGAAGGGUGUCCUGGCCUCCGGUGUAGCAGGAACUGGGUCCCUGGAGGAGGUUCCAGGUCAGGUAAAGGAGUUGGGUACAAUAGGCCUGUGUGGCAUUCCUUGGGAUCACAUUUGUCCCUGGAGCUUUGUCUUGCUGCCAGUCUGUGAAGAGCUCCAGAGAGCUCAGAGAUGACCAUCCAGAAAGUUUUGGUUUGGGGCCUGAGGCCUGAGAAAUGGGAAUAUUUGCUGGAGGAAGAACGAAGCAGGAGGUGUAGAGCUCAUGCAGGAAUGUCCAGACCUGGAAGGUGGGUAGGACCCAGGCUUUUCAGUGGGAAAGCCACUCCCAGCCUUGGGGUUUGCACCUUACAGG
rnacentral:lncRNA from 1 species